UAGUGCAGUGGCAAUAGGAGCUUCUGGCCAAGUGAACUGCUUUCAAAACUUGGUCUGAGGAUCACACUGUCUUCCUCUGUCUCUAUCUCAUCCAAGGGUGUGAUCAUAAUAAAGGAUAAAUUGGCAGUGCAAAAGAGUGGUGGGUGCCAAGACAAGAGCCCGAGGACUUCCCUGAAAAGGAACUAUAUAUAGGACCUUGCAAACCAGUUGUUUUUGUUUCUGCCUCUGUCCAACCCAGAAUAACAGCCAGAGCAUUUAUGUGGG
rnacentral:lncRNA from 1 species